CAAAUUAAAUUACCAUUCAAAGCUUUCUUCCAAUUUUAUUUAUUUCCUUUUUUAAACAUCCAGGAUGUGCAAAUUAAUUCUGAGGAUAAAAGAGAAAUGUAUAAAAUAAAACUUACAGCUUUGAGUGUGUUGAACGAAGCCACCUGAUUGAUCUGAUCAACUCCAAUGAAGUGUCUUGAUUCAAAGGAAAGAAGUUAAUCUCAGGCAAAUAUGUUUCUUUUGGAAAAAAAAAUGCAACUUCCAGCUGCCCCAGAUUAAUU
rnacentral:lncRNA from 1 species